rnacentral:rRNA from 1 species
UACGUAGGGGGCAAGCGUUGUCCGGAAUCAUUGGGCGUAAAGAGCGUGUAGGCGGUCCGGUAAGUCGGCUGUGAAAGUCCAGGGCUCAACCCUGGGAUGCCGGUCGAUACUGCCGGACUAGAGUUCGGAAGAGGCGAGUGGAAUUCCCGGUGUAGCGGUGAAAUGCGCAGAUAUCGGGAGGAACACCGAUUGCGUAGGCAGCUUACUAAACUGUAACUGACGCUGAGGCACGAAAGCGUGGGGAGCAAACAGG